rnacentral:piRNA from 1 species
UCCAGAGAAGACCUGCAUCAGAGA